CCCUGUCUUAAAAGAAUAGCCAUUUGGGCUGGAGAGAUGGCUCAGAGGGGAAGAGCACUGGCUGCUCUUCCAGAGGUCCCGAGUUCAAUUCCCAGCAACCACAUGGUAG
rnacentral:miRNA from 1 species